UAUCAGCUUGUUGGUGAGGUAAUGGCUCACCAAGGCGUCGACGGGUAGCCGGCCUGAGAGGGUGACCGGCCACACUGGGACUGAGACACGGCCCAGACUCCUACGGGAGGCAGCAGUGGGGAAUAUUGCACAAUGGGCGCAAGCCUGAUGCAGCAACGCCGCGUGAGGGAUGACGGCCUUCGGGUUGUAAACCUCUUUUAGCAGGGAAGAAGCGAGAGUGACGGUACCUGCAGAAAAAGCACCGGCUAACUACGUGCCAGCAGCCGCGGUAAUACGUAGGGUGCAAGCGUUAUCCGGAAUUAUUGGGCGUAAAGAGCUCGUAGGCGGUUUGUCGCGUCUGCUGUGAAAUCUGGGGGCUCAACCCCCAGCCUGCAGUGGGUACGGGCAGACUAGAGUGCGGUAGGGGAGAUUGGAAUUCCUGGUGUAGCGGUGGAAUGCGCAGAUAUCAGGAGGAACACCGAUGGCGAAGGCAGAUCUCUGGGCCGUAACUGACGCUGAGGAGCGAAAGGGUGGGGAGCAAACAGGCUUAGAUACCCUGGUAGUCCACCCCGUAAACGUUGGGAACUAGUUGUGGGGUCCAUUCCACGGAUUCCGUGACGCAGCUAACGCAUUAAGUCCCCGCCU
rnacentral:rRNA from 1 species